rnacentral:sRNA from 1 species
AAUGGGAGGAUAAGAGAGAAGAGGACAGCAGGGCACUUGUGCAAGGAACCAAGUCAAGGAACCAAGAGUAAAGGGGUAUUUUCCAUUUCUUGUGUACUGUGGUUCUGAUAUAAACUGUUCGCCAACUGGCAACUGAUAUUGGACAACGUCCUCGGCCUGUUGCUGCAUCUUGGGGCGGCGGCCAAAAAGUUUUUUGCAUACCCACAUCCAGGCUCAACUUCUAGCUCAACUGGCCGCGAAGUGAGAGUUGGAAAACAAAAAUAUGCCUUGGCGGUUACGCACGACUUUGCUGCAGAUGCCAGGCGGGCAGCUACGUACAAUACAUACAUCCACACAUACACUACACCGAUGCAGCCACGGGUCGCACUAGGCUAUCUAUCAGUGACAGUGUCCCGAGGGAAUUCAAUCAAUUUUCAUUAUUGAAUCUCGCCUCGCAGGAAGCGAAAUCUUGAGUCCCCGAAGCCCACACCCAUAAUUGAUUGAUUGAUCAAAAAGAAAACUCCGGAAAUUCCAGCCUCGCCAUCUUCCCACCAACCUGUUGUUGGACUGUCAAUAAAUCGAGCUAACAUAGCCUAAUUAAUGUGAAUGAAUGCAUAAACCCCAACCCCCUCCCCCCCUCUCCAAGGGUUUUCUAGCGGGGAAAACAAUGGAGGACAACGAUGAUUGCUCGCCUGGGAAAUAUGGAGCUGGAUAGAGAGCCCGCACCCUACCCAAUCCCUGAAACGAUUGCAG